UACGAAGGGGGGCUAGCGUUGCUCGGAAUCACUGGGCGUAAAGCGCACGUAGGCGGCUUUCUAAGUCAGGGGGUGAAAUCCUGGAGCUCAACUCCAGAACUGCCUUUGAUACUGGAGAGCUUGAGUCCGGAAGAGGUGAGUGGAACUCCGAGUGUAGAGGUGAAAAUUCGUAGAUAUUCGCAAGAACACCAGUGGCGAAGGCGGCUCACUGGCCCGGUACUGACGCUGAGGUGCGAAAGCGUGGGGAGCA
rnacentral:rRNA from 1 species